AUGAAGCCUCUAUCUGGUCAGCUGUCACUUAACGUUGAUGCAUCCUUUACUGAAGAAAGUUACUCAGGGUCAUGUGGAGCUGUCAUUCGAGAUCUCCUUGGCUCCUUCGUUGCUGCAUCCACGGCCAAGCUUGAAUAUGCAGCCGAUAUUGUAGCAGCAGAAGCAGCUGCUCUGGUAGAAGGCCUUAAGCUAGCUCUACAGCUUGGGAUAAAUUCUCUUCUGAUCUAGAUGGACAAUUUGAUUGUGGUUGAGUCUCUAAAAAGCAACAGUGGGCAUUCUAUGGUGGCUGCUCCAAUCCUUGAUGAAUGUCGUAACUUGAUGGAAGAUUUUGGGAAGGUCGAAGUAGAACAUUGUAAUAGAGAGUCGAAUAUGGUUGCUCAUUAUAUUAGCUCAGAAGGAACGUGUGGAACCUCCGUCUUUGUGGAUGGACACACCCCCUGA
rnacentral:rRNA from 1 species